ACACUCAUGUUUUUUCUCAGAUCGUAUAAAUCUUUCGCCUUUUACUAAAGAUUUCCGUGGGGAAGAACAAUAUGAGUAUAAAAUAAUUUUUUGAUGUCCUGCCGAUUGGCGGGGCU
rnacentral:snRNA from 12 species